rnacentral:rRNA from 1 species
UUUAAAUUGAGAGUUUGAUCCUGGCUCAGGACGAACGCUGGCGGCGUGCUUAACACAUGCAAGUCGAGCGGGGAACUUCGGUUCCCAGCGGCGGACGGGUGAGUAACACGUGGGUAACCUACCUCAUAGUGGGGAAUAGCCUUUCGAAAGGAAGAUUAAUACCGCAUAAUACUCGAGAAUCGCAUGAUUCUUGAGCCAAAGAAUUUAUUCGCUAUGAGAUGGACCCGCGGCGCAUUAGCUUGUUGGUGAGGUAACGGCUCACCAAGGCUUCGAUGCGUAGCCGACCUGAGAGGGUGAUCGGCCACAUUGGAACUGAGACACGGUCCAGACUCCUACGGGAGGCAGCAGUGGGGAAUAUUGCACAAUGGGGGAAACCCUGAUGCAGCAACGCCGCGUGAGUGAUGAAGGUCUUCGGAUCGUAAAACUCUGUCUUAUGGGACGAUAAUGACGGUACCAUAGGAGGANUCACCAAGGCUUCGAUGCGUAGCCGACCUGAGAGGGUGAUCGGCCACAUUGGAACUGAGACACGGUCCAGACUCCUACGGGAGGCAGCAGUGGGGAAUAUUGCACAAUGGGGGAAACCCUGAUGCAGCAACGCCGCGUGAGUGAUGAAGGUCUUCGGAUCGCAAAACUCUGUCUUAUGGGACGAUAAUGACGGUACCAUAGGAGGAAGCCACGGCUAACUACGUGCCAGCAGCCGCGGUAAUACGUAGGUGGCAAGCGUUGUCCGGAUUUACUGGGCGUAAAGGAUGUGUAG